UGGCGGACGGGUGAGUAAUGUCUGGGAAACUGCCCGAUGGAGGGGGAGUAACUACUGGAAACGGUAGCUAAUACCGCAUAACGUCGCAAGACCAAAGAGGGGGACCUUCGGGCCUCUUGCCAUCGGAUGUGCCCAGAUGGGAUUAGCUAGUAGGUGGGGUAAAGGCUCACCUAGGCGACGAUCCCUAGCUGGUCUGAGAGGAUGACCAGCCACACUGGAACUGAGACACGGUCCAGACUCCUACGGGAGGCAGCAUG
rnacentral:rRNA from 1 species